rnacentral:lncRNA from 1 species
AACCCUCAAACCGAGUUUGUUUGCAAAUUUUGCCUUUCGCUUAUGUCUAAGUAGGGAGCAUUAUUGAAUAAAUUUGGUUUCAAAAGUUGGGGAGAGUAAAUUAAAAAGAGUUUAUUAGAAACUUGGAAAAGUGAUGUUUUAUAAAAGGGUGAAAGUAUGAAAAGAAACAAGAAAAAUAAAUCACCCUUGAAACUAUAGAGCAAAGAAAAAGAAAAGAAAGAAAAAAAACAAAGAAAAAGCUCAUGGUUGUGUGGAUGUAAAAAAAUAAGAAAAGAAGAAAGACGGGGAUCAAAGAAAUGGAAAUUGUUGUAGAGUUGAAUGUAUGGGAAUGCU